UACGGAGGGUGCAAGCGUUAAUCGGAAUUACUGGGCGUAAAGCGUGCGUAGGUGGUUGUUAAGUCCGUUGUGAAAGCCCCGAGCUCAACUUGGGAAUUGCAGUGGAUACUGGCAAGCUGGAGUGCGGUAGAGGAAGGUGGAAUUCCGGUGUAGCGGUGAAAUGCGUAGAUAUCGGAAGGAACACCUGUGGCGAAAGCGGCUCACUGGACCAUUCUGACGCUGAGGCACGAAAGCGUGGGGAGCAAACAGG
rnacentral:rRNA from 1 species